rnacentral:misc_RNA from 1 species
GAUGAAGAACGUAGCGAAAUGCGAUACUUGGUGUGAAUUGCAGAAUCCCGUGAACCAUCGAGUCUUUGAACGCAAGUUGCGCCUCAAGCCAUUAGGUUGAGGGCACGUCUGCCUGGGCGUCACAUAUCGUUGCCUGAUGCCAGUUUCCUCGUGAUGGGUGACUGUGCAGGGCGAAUGAUGGCUUCCCGUGAGCAUUGUUGCCUCAUGGUUGGUUGAAAAUUGAGUCCUUGGUAGGGAGCGCCGUGAUAGAUUGUGGUUGAGUGACGAACGAGACCCAAUCAUGUGAGACCCCUACCGAAUUUAGCCUUCAUGACCCACAUGCGUCUUUGGAACGCUCAUGACGAGACCUCAGGUCAGGCGGGGCUACCCGCUGAGUUUAAGCAUAUCAAUAAGCGGAGGA